ACCUCAUGAUCUGCCUGCCUCGGCCUCCCAAAGAGCUGGGAUUACAGGCGUGAGCCACCGCGCCCAGCCAAUUUUUUUUUUUUUAAUUUGAAAUGACCCUCUCUGCAGCACAGAUACAGCUCUUUCCUACUGGGCAUAUGUGACUGCCCUGUUGGGAAGGUGGCUUCAUAUUCCCACCCAGAUGGGCCUGCUUGGUGCCCCCUCCCCCACUGGUUAACACACACUCUGUGCGCACAUGUUCAGAGUGUUCGGCCAGGGCCUGGCACAUGAUAAGCAUUCAACUCCUGCCAGCUGUUUCGUUCAGAGACAAGGAAAUGAAAGCCCAGAAGGCUUACGAUUUGCUGAAAGUCAAGUUCUUGGCAAAACCAAGACCGGCCUUGAAACCCAUCCCUCCUUCCUCUGUGCCUCAGUUUCCUCAUCUAUAAAAUGGAGCUGAUAGCUAAUUCUUUCUUUUUUUUUUUUUU
rnacentral:lncRNA from 10 species